CGUUGUUCGGAAUUACUGGGCGUAAAGGGCGCGUAGGUGGCCUUCUAAGUUGAACGUGAAAUCCCUGGGCUCAACCCAGGAACUGCGUCCAAGACUGGGAGGCUUGAAUCCGGGAGAGGGAUGCGGAAUUCCAGGUGUAGCGGUGAAAUGCGUAGAUAUCUGGAGGAACACCGGUGGCGAAGGCGGCAUCCUGGACCGGCAUUGACGCUGAGGCGCGAAAGCCAGGGGAGCAAACGGG
rnacentral:rRNA from 1 species